AUGGCCAAGUAAUUGGAGUGGAGACUCCCGCCAGUUCCUUCUUCCGCUGACAAUCGUCAAAAUUCCUAGAACCCUAAUUGAUCUCUCUUGUAUUCUUCUUCUUCUUCUUCGUCGUCGUUAGGGGUUUCUUGUUCGUUGUGGAUGAUAGCUGCUCGAUCAUGCAUUCACUUUCGCUGCAUAUGUCCUCUCCCUAAAACCCUACCUUUUCCCUUCUCCCUCAUUUCGCCUUCUUCUCGCCGCCACUUUCUCUCCCUGAACCUUAGCUCGACUCGCAAAACCAUGUCUUCUUCCUCCCGCCCUUCCGCAUUUGACGCGCUCAUGUCCAAUGCACGCGCCGCCGCGGCUAAGAAGAAGACGACGCCUCAACCCUCCACUUCGUCUCGCUCGCCGAAGAAACGCAAAGCUGAGAAUGCCCAACCCACCGAUCCGGCGAAAGCCAGUGUUUCUGAAUCUGUAGUCGCCAAGUCGGAGAAUUCGAGAGGGCCCAUAACGGAUUCCACGAAACUCAGUUCGAAUUCGUCGCCGAUUGCGGAUGACUCAAAGAAUGAGGGGAAAAAGUUGAAGGUGCUGAGCCAAGCGGAGAAAAUUACUGAAUUGAAGAGUAAAAUUGGAUUGUUGAAGAAGAAGACAAGUGAUUUCGAUCCGAAAGCAGUGUCUUGUUGGGAGAAGGGAGAGAGAGUCCCGUUUCUUUUUCUUUGCCUGGCUUUUGAUAUGAUAUCACAUGAAACCGGUCGGAUUGUGAUCACUGAUAUUCUGUGUAACAUGUUGAGAACUGUAAUUGCGACCACUCCGGAAGAUUUGGUGGCAACUGUUUCUCUCUCGGCCAAUGAGAUUGCUCCUGCUCAUGAGGGUUUGGAGUUGGGAAUCGGGGAUGCUUCCAUUAAGAAGGCACUUGCCGAAGCAUUUGGCAGAACAGAGAAGCAGGUUGAUAAGGAGUAUAAGGAGCUGGGAGAUUUGGGGCUGGUAGCAAAAGCAAGCCGGUCGUCUCAAUCUAUGAUGCGGAAGCCUGAACCAUUGACGAUUGUCAAGGUCUUCGAUACAUUUCGACUAAUUGCAAAGGAAGCUGGAAAAGAUAGUCAGGAGAAGAAAAAGAACCGUAUGAAGGCACUUCUUGUGGCUGCAACAGACUGUGAACCUCAAUAUUUAACUCGUCUACUUCAGGCGAAACUGCGUAUAGGGUUCUCAGUUCAGACUCUCUUAGCUGCCCUGGGACAAGCAGCAGUAUACAAUGAAGAGCAUUCAAAGCCGCCCCCGAAUAUCCAGUCUCCUUUAGAAGAGGCUGCGAAGAUAGUUAAACAAGUAUACACCGUGCUUCCUGUCUAUGACAAGAUUGUUCCUGCUCUUCUUAGUGGUGGUAUAUGGAAUCUUCCAAAGACUUGCAACUUUACAUUGGGUGUUCCAAUUGGACCCAUGCUUGCAAAACCAACGAAAGGGGUUGCAGAGAUACUAAAUAAAUUCCAGGACAUUGUUUUUACAUGUGAAUACAAGUACGAUGGAGAACGUGCCCAGAUACAUUACAUGGAAGAUGGUUCUUUUGAGAUAUAUAGUCGAAAUGCUGAAAGAAAUACUGGAAAGUUUCCCGAUGUUGCUCUUGCAUUGUCAAGAUUAAAGAAGCCCUCUUUGAAAUCAUUUGUUUUGGAUUGUGAGCUUGUUGCUUACGAUAGAGAGAAGAAGAAAAUUCUUCCUUUCCAGAUUCUCAGCACCCGAGCCCGUAAAAAUGUGAGUGUCAAUGAUAUCAAGGUUGAUGUCUGCAUCUUUGCAUUCGACAUGUUAUAUUUAAAUGGCCAGCAGCUACUACAGGAGAAUCUGAGCACUCGCCGAGAGAAGCUAUACGAUUCAUUUGAGGAAGAACCUGGCUAUUUUCAGUUUGCAACUGCUCUAACAUCCAGUGACAUUGAAGAAAUACAGAAAUUCCUUGAUGCUGCUGUCGAUUCGAGCUGUGAAGGUUUAAUAAUUAAAACAAUGGACUUGGACGCUACCUAUGAGCCUGCAAAGCGAUCGAAUAAUUGGCUAAAACUGAAGAAAGAUUAUAUGGACAGUAUUGGUGACUCAGUGGAUCUUGUACCCAUUGGAGCUUUCCAUGGAAGAGGCAAACGCACAGGUGUCUAUGGUGCAUUUUUAUUAGCUUGCUAUGAUACUGAAAAGGAAGAAUACCAGAGCAUCUGCAAGAUUGGUACUGGAUUUUCUGAAGUGGUGCUUGAAGAACGAUCCUCUAGUCUUCGUUCUAAAACAAUUCCCGCCCCAAAGCCGUACUAUCGAGUUGGAGAUACCCUCAAUCCAGAUGUCUGGUUUGAGCCAACUGAGGUUUGGGAAGUCAAAGCUGCAGACUUGACAAUAAGCCCUGUGCACCGUGCAGCCAUUGGCAUUGUGGAUCCUGAUAAGGGAAUAUCUCUUCGAUUUCCUCGUCUUGUGCGUGUACGUGAAGACAAGCAGCCGGAGGAAGCAACAUCGUCUGAGCAGAUCGCUGAUAUGUACCAAGCUCAAAAGCACAAUCAUCCAAACAAAAAAGACGAUAGUGAAGACGAGUGAAGUUCUUAUAUAUUUUUUCCUUGCUUUGGAAGAGGGGAUCCAAUGAGUAUGUUCACCAUUAUUCAGAACUGAGAAUGCAAGCAAUGGAAUGGUCAUUCUCAAUUAGUUAAAUUCUCUGAACAUAUUCUCAUCCCUAAUUCAGUAACACAUAGAGCUUUCAUUCAA